UAUUCUCGGGGUUUUAGGAACUAAGUAUUUUUUUGCUUUGGGAUGUAUAAAAAUAUUGACUGAAGUCAGCUGACAAUUUGAAAACAUCAUAGAAGCUUGUGGGAAAGUGACCUGACAGUCUAUGGCUUAUCUGGAAAAAUCAAAGACUAAACACAGACAGAGCAUCACAUCAUUUCAACCAGGACCACAGCCUAAGCUGCAAGAAGACAAUGG
rnacentral:lncRNA from 1 species